AAUAUAUGACGCCGUUAACUUUUUGACAAACGUUUGACCUUUCGUCUUAUUUAAAAAAUUUAUGUAAUUAUAAUUUAUUUUAUUGUGACUUGAUUUAUCAUCAAAUGUUCUUUAAGUAUGACAUAAGUAUUUUUAUAUUUGCAUAAAUAUUUUAAAUAAGACGAGUGGUCAAACGUUGAUUAUAAAAUCAACGGUGUCAUACACU
rnacentral:pre_miRNA from 1 species